UCAGUAUGGCGGCUUGUCGCUCGUUGUGGCUCCCCUUUCGGGGUGGGGCGCGUCGAGAGGAAAGUCCGGGCAACACAGAGUGCCACACUUCUUAACGGGAAGGCGGGGGUGACCUCGCGGUAAAGGUGACAGAAAACAACCGCCGGCUUCGGCCGGUAAGGGUGAAAAGGUGGGGUAAGAGCCCACCGGACGUGGUGGUGACAUCGCGUGCCGCAUCUCCUGUGGGUUGCAAGGUCAAGUAUAUCGGCAGAUAUGGGUUACUCGCUCAUGCCGAGGGGUAGACUGCUAUAUCACGUCGGUGACGGCGUGGACAGAUAAAUGACAAGCUACCGCGCCACGGGUUGGCAAGGUAACAUAACCCGGCUUAUAACCGUACUGACAAU
rnacentral:RNase_P_RNA from 1 species